AACGAACGCUGGCGGCAUGCCUAACACAUGCAAGUCGAACGAGACCUUCGGGUCUAGUGGCGCACGGGUGCGUAACGCGUGGGAACCUGCCCUUAGGUUCGGAAUAACUCCCCGAAAGGGGUGCUAAUACCGGAUAAUGUCUUCGGACCAAAGAUUUAUCGCCUUUGGAUGGGCCCGCGUUGGAUUAGCUAGUUGGUAGGGUAAAAGCCUACCAAGGCGACGAUCCAUAGCUGGUCUGAGAGGAUGGUCAGCCACACUGGGACUGAGACACGGCCCAGACUCUUGCGGGAGGCAGCAGUGGGGGAUAUUGGAAAAUGGGGGAAAGGCUGAUGCAGCAAUGCCGGGAGAGUGAUGAAGGUCUUAGGGUUGUAAAGCUCUUUUACACGGGAUGAUAAUGACAGUACCGGGAGAAUAAGCUCCGGCUAACUCCGUG
rnacentral:rRNA from 1 species